ensembl:snRNA U2 U2 spliceosomal RNA
AUUGUUUCUCUUCCUUUUGGCUAAGAUCAAAUUGUAGUGCCUGUUCUUAUCAGUUUAAUAUCUAAUAUAUCCUCUAUCUGAGGACAUUAUGUUAAAUGGAUUUCUGGAGCUGGGAGUUGGAAUAGAAGCUUGCUCCAUAAACUCCACGCAUCAGCCUGGUAUUGCAAUACUUUCAGGAAUGGUGAACCCCUC